rnacentral:rRNA from 1 species
GAUUGAACGCUGGUGGCAGGCCUAACACAUGCAAGUCGAGCGGCAUCGAGUGAUCGCAGUUUACUGAGUUCAUGUCGGCGAGCGGCGGACGGGUGAGUAAAGUCUGGGAAUCUGGCCGAAGGAGGGGGAUAACUGCUGGAAACGGCAGCUAAUACCGCAUGAAGUCGCGAGACCAAAGYGGGGGACCUUCGGGCCUCACGCCUUCGGAUGAGCCCAGAUGAGAUUAGCUGGUAGGUAAGGUAAAGGCUYACCUAGGCGACGAUCUCUAGCGGGUCUGAGAGGAUAGCCCGCCACACUGGAACUGAGACACGGUCCAGACUCCUACGGGAGGCAGCAGUGGGGAAUAUUGCACAAUGGGCGAAAGCCUGAUGCAGCCAUGCCACGUGUGUGAAGAAGGC